rnacentral:rRNA from 1 species
GAUCCUGGCUCAGAUUGAACGCUGGCGGCAUAGCCUUACACAUGCAAGUCGAACGGUAGAGGGGGNAACCCUUGAGAGUGGCGAACGGGUGAGUAAUAUAUCGGAACGUGCCCAGUCGUGGGGGGAUAACGUAGCGAAAGUUACGCUAAUACCGCAUACGAUCUAAGGAUGAAANCGGGGGAUCGCAAGACCUCGCGCGAUUGGAGCGGCCGAUAUCAGAUUAGGUAGUUGGUGAGGUAAAGGCUCACCAAGCCAACGAUCUGUAGCUGGUCUGAGAGGACGACCAGCCACACUGGAACUGAGACACGGUCCAGACUCCUACGGGAGGCAGCAGUGGGGAAUUUUGGACAAUGGACGCAAGUCUGAUCCAGCCAUUCCGCGUGCAGGAUGAAGGCCCUCGGGUUGUAAACUGCUUUUGUACGGAACGAAAAGGUUUCUAUUAAUACUAGGAGCUCAUGACGGUACCGUAAGAAUAAGCACCGGCUAACUCCGUG